rnacentral:rRNA from 1 species
UGAGUACGAGAUGCUACGGCAUCGAAGCAGUCUAUGUCAUACUUCCAAGAAAAGCUUGCAAUGUCAUAAACAAAUAAUGCCUGUACCAUAACCGACACAGGUGGGUAGGUAGAGUAUACUAAGGGGCGCGAGAUAACACUCUCUAAGGAACUCGGCAAAAUGACUCCGUAACUUCGGGAGAAGGAGUGCCUUAUUUUUAUAAGGUUGCAAUAACAAGAUCCAAGCAACUGUUUACCAAAAACACAGGUCUCCGCUAAGUCGUAAGACGAUGUAUGGGGGCUGACGCCUGCCCAGUGCCAGAAGGUUAAAGAAGUUGGUUAGCAUUAGCGAAGCUGAUAACUGAAGCCCUGGUGAACGGCGGCCGUAACGAUACGGUCCUAAGGUAGCGAAAUUCCUUGUCGGGUAAGUUCCGACCCGCACGAAAGGCGUAAUGAUUUGGAUACUGUCUCGGAGAGGGGCUCGGUGAAAUAGACUUGUCUGUGAAGAUGCGGACUACCUGCACCUGGACAGAAAGACCCUAUGAAGCUUUGCUGUAACUUGAGAUUGAAAUUGGACUUUAUCUGCGCAGUAUAGGUGGGAGACGUUGAAAAUAUUCUUGCGGGAAUAUUGGAGUCAUCAGUGAGAUACCACUCUUAUAAUGUUAGAUUUCUAACUUUGUAUCAUUAUCUGGUCAAAGAACAGUUUCAGGCGGGCAGUUUGACUGGGGCGGUCGCCUCCCAAACGGUAACGGAGGCGCACAAAGGUUUCCUCUGAACGUGUAGAAAUCGUAUCUAGAGUGUAAAGGCAUAAGGAAGCUUGACUGUGAGACCUACAAGUCGAGCAGGGACGAAAGUCGGUCUUAGUGAUCUGACGGUGCUGAGUGGAAAGGCCGUCACUCAACGGAUAAAAGUUACUCUAAGGAUAACAGGCUGAUCUCCCCCAAGAGUUCACAUCGACGGGGAGGUUUGGCACCUCGAUGUCGGCUCAUCGCAUCCUGGGGCGGUAGUACGUCCCAAGGGUUGGGCUGUUCGCCCAUGAAAGCGGUACGCGAGCUGGGUUCAGAACGUCGUGAGACAGUUCGGUCCAUAUCCGGUGUAGGCGUUAGAAUAUUGAGAGGAGCCUUCUUUAGUACGAGAGGACCGAGAAGGACAUACCUCUGGUGUACCAGUUAUCGUGCCAACGGUAAACGCUGGUAGCCAUGUAUGGAGAGGAUAACCGCUGAAAGCAUCUAAGUGGGAAGCCCACCUCAAGAUAAGUAUUCUCA